AACGAACGCUGGCGGCAGGCCUAACACAUGCAAGUCGAGCGCGUGUAGCAAUACACGAGCGGCGCACGGGUGAGUAACGCGUGGGAAUCUGCCCUACAGUGGGGAACAACCACGGGAAACUGUGGCUAAUACCGCAUACGUCCUUCGGGAGAAAGGCUUAGGCCGCUGUAGGAGGAGCCCGCGUCCGAUUAGCUAGUUGGUGAGGUAACGGCUCACCAAGGCGACGAUCGGUAACUGGUCUGAGAGGACGACCAGUCACACUGGGACUGAGACACGGCCCAGACUCCUACGGGAGGCAGCAGUGGGGAGUAUUGGACAAUGGGGGAAACCCUGAUCCAGCCAUGCCGCGUGAGUGAUGAAGGCCUUCGGGUUGUAAAGCUCUUUUAGCGGGGAAGAUAAUGACGGUACCCGCAGAAUAAGCCCCGGCUAACUUCGUG
rnacentral:rRNA from 1 species